rnacentral:lncRNA from 1 species
GGCGCAGCAGCUGCUCCCUGAACACUUUCUGACCCAACAGUCCCCCAGCGCCGGACGCGCCGCGCCCUGGCGGCUCUAGGGACCCCCCCCGCGCCUGCACUUAGCCCCGCGCCCGAGUCCACAGACAAACGAAUUUAAAGGAGCAACCGAGGAGGCACCUGCGAAAGAAAGCCCACACACAGGUGAAUUUAAAGGAGCAGCCCUGGUGUCACCUAUCAGUAAAAGAAUGUUAGAACGACUUUCCAAGUUUGAAGUUGGAGAUGCUGAAAAUGUUGCUUCAUAUGAUGAUCUAGAGGGAGCAGGAAGACCAGAGUCACUACAGUGUUUUUCGUGCUUUUCAUCAUGGCCACCUCCCUACCCCCAGAGUCUGCACAAGAGAAAAAUGUGUCCAGUGGGAGAGAUAGCACCUGCCUUCAAUACAAAUCCCAUUUCAUUAAACAUGGUCUUGUUAGUGUCAUGUAGCUUCCACCUUCUAUUGAUAAAAAAUGAGUCAUGUUCAUAGUUAAUAUUUUUGCUUUUAAUUCAACUUUGAUAUUAAUAUUGGAACUUUUAAGUGUUUUAAGGUUUAGUAUCUCAUAUCUUUUUUUCUCUCUCUUUUUUUUUUUUUGAGCCGGAGUCUCGCUCUGUCACCAGGCUGGAGUGCAGUGGCGCCACUCAGCUCACUGCAACCUCCGCUUCCCAGGUUCAAGUGAUUCUCCUGCCUCAGCCUCGUGAGUAGCUGGGACUACAGGCACGCACCACCACGCCCAGCUAAUUUUUUGUAUUUUUAGUAGAGAUGGAGUUUCACCAUGUUGGCCAGGAUAGUCUCGAUCUCUUGACCUCAUGAUCCACCCACCUUGGCCACCCAAAGUGCUGGGAUUACAGGCGUGAGCCACCGUGCCUGGCCUCUAUCUCUUUAUUUUUGAAUUGUCAUUUAAAUUUAGUUUUUGUCUCUCGUGUAUAGCAUGUAAUGCCUUUAAUUUCAAAGUUAUCUGAGAGUAUUUCUCAAUAUGCAGUAUGAGAGUAAUAUGUUUGUAUUUAUGAUUUCUGGUACGUUUGGUUUUAUUUAUCAUCUUUUUCUUUAUUAAAAAUACUUUGAUAUUUU